GUACAGGGUGAUAGUCCCGUACACCAAAAUGCACAGGCUGUGAACUCGAAGAGUAGGGCGGGACACGUGGUAUCCUGUCUGAAUAUGGGGGGACCAUCCUCCAAGGCUAAAUACUCCUGACUGACCGAUAGUGAACCAGUACCGUGAGGGAAAGGCGAAAAGAACCCCGGCGAGGGGAGUGAAAAAGAACCUGAAACCGUGUACGUACAAGCAGUGGGAGCACCUUCGGGUGUGACUGCGUACCUUUUGUAUAAUGGGUCAGCGACUUAUAUUCUGUAGCAAGGUUAACCGUAUAGGGGAGCCGCAGGGAAACCGAGUCUUAACUGGGCGUUAAGUUGCAGGGUAUAGACCCGAAACCCGGUGAUCUAGCCAUGGGCAGGUUGAAGGUUGGGUAACACUAACUGGAGGACCGAACCGACUAAUGUUGAAAAAUUAGCGGAUGACUUGUGGCUGGGGGUGAAAGGCCAAUCAAACCGGGAGAUAGCUGGUUCUCCCCGAAAGCUAUUUAGGUAGCGCCUCGUGAACUCAUCUUCGGGGGUAGAGCACUGUUUCGGCUAGGGGGUCAUCCCGACUUACCAACCCGAUGCAAACUACGAAUACCGAAGAAUGUUAUCACGGGAGACACACGGCGGGUGCUAACGUCCGUCGUGAAGAGGGAAACAACCCAGACCGCCAGCUAAGGUCCCAAAGUCAUGGUUAAGUGGGAAACGAUGUGGGAAGGCACAGACAGCCAGGAUGUUGGCUUAGAAGCAGCCAUCAUUUAAAGAAAGCGUAAUAGCUCACUGGUCGAGUCGGCCUGCGCGGAAGAUGUAACGGGGCUAAACCAUGCACCGAAGCUGCGGCAGCGACACUAUGUGUUGUUGGGUAGGGGAGCGUUCUGUAAGCCUGCGAAGGUGACCUGUGAGGGUUGCUGGAGGUAUCAGAAGUGCGAAUGCUGACAUAAGUAACGAUAAAGCGGGUGAAAAGCCCGCUCGCCGGAAGACCAAGGGUUCCUGUCCAACGUUAAUCGGGGCAGGGU
rnacentral:rRNA from 1 species